GACGAACGCUGGCGGCGUGCCUAAUACAUGCAAGUUGUGCGCUGAAGGUUGGUACUUGUACCAACUGGAUGAGCAGCGAACGGGUGAGUAACGCGUGGGGAAUCUGCCUUUGAGCGGGGGACAACAUUUGGAAACGAAUGCUAAUACCGCAUAAAAACUUUAAACACAAGUUUUAAGUUUGAAAGAUGCAAUUGCAUCACUCAAAGAUGAUCCCGCGUUGUAUUAGCUAGUUGGUGAGGUAAAGGCUCACCAAGGCGAUGAUACAUAGCCGGCCUGAGAGGGUGAUCGGCCACAUUGGGACUGAGACACGGCCCAAACUCCUACGGGAGGCAGCAGUAGGGAAUCUUCGGCAAUGGACGAAAGUCUGACCGAGCAACGCCGCGUGAGUGAAGAAGGUUUUCGGAUCGUAAAACUCUGUUGGUAGAGAAGAACGUUGGUGAGAGUGGAAAGCUCAUCAAGUGACGGUAACUACCCAGAAAGGGACGGCUAACUACGUG
rnacentral:rRNA from 1 species